UACGGGGGGAGCAAGCGUUGUUCGGAUUUACUGGGCGUAAAGGGCGCGUAGGCGGUCAGCACAAGUCAGUUGUGAAAUCUCCGGGCUUAACCCGGAAAGGUCAACUGAUACUGUGCGACUAGAGUGCGGAAGGGGCAACUGGAAUUCUUGGUGUAGCGGUGAAAUGCGUGGAUAUCAAGAGGAACACCUGCGGCGAAGGCGGGUUGCUGGGCCGACACUGACGCUGAAGCGCGAAAGCCAGGGGAGCGAACGGG
rnacentral:rRNA from 1 species